GAUGAACGCUGGCGGCGUGCCUAACACAUGCAAGUCGAGCGCGUCUGAUUUGAUGCUUGCAUUAAUGAAAGAUGAGCGGCGGACGGGUGAGUAACGCGUGGGUAACCUGCCCUAUACACAUGGAUAACAUACUGAAAAGUUUACUAAUACAUGAUAAUAUAUAUUUACGGCAUCGUAGAUAUAUCAAAGUGUUAGCGGUAUAGGAUGGACCCGCGUCUGAUUAGCUAGUUGGUGAGAUAACUGCCCACCAAGGCGACGAUCAGUAGCGGGUCGGAGAGGACUAUCCGCCACUCUUGGACUGUGACAUGGCCCAUACUCUGACGUGUUGGUAUCUUUUGGGAAUUUUUGAUUGGGGUAGCAACCUUUACCCAGUCAUUCUGUGGGGUGUUAAGAUGGCCUUUGGUUGUUUGUUUCUGUUGGUUGUGUUGUUGUGGGUUUUUUGUUUUUUUUUUUUUC
rnacentral:rRNA from 1 species